AGAAAUUUCGAAUUUUGAGUAAUUCUGGUCACAUAAGAAAAUCAUUCCUAAGGCUUUUGAGGUCUUGGAAACAGUAUAUAACUCCAUCGACAAGGUUCGGAUAGACAGAGCGG